AUUUGUUUACAAUCGCAUUCAACAAAAUUUACAGUAAAUAUCGGAAUGCUCAAAUUAUUACCAAGCACUGCAUUUGGCAAUAGUGCAAAUGCAAAAUGUGGUGAAAUCUAUUGUCACAGUUCCACCGAAUUUACCAUUAUUUGUACACUGUGCGAACUCAAAGCGUUCGACUACCAGGAUUUCAUGCAUCACUGUAAGAAUGUACACCUCGAAAACGACUUAUUGAAAACAGAAGAAAUAUUUGUUGAAGUCGCACCAUACCUGUCAUCAAAUGUGAAGGAUGAAGCUGAAGCUGAAUUCCUGGAAGAGCAUGACUUUGUCUUUUCUGAUGAAGAAAAGGAAAAGUCAGAGUUACGUAUUAGCCAAUGGAAAGAGGAUAACUCGUUAUCUGAACAUUCAGACAGUGAUACGGAGAAUAAUUUUGAAUCUAAUUUUGAUGAUAAAGAUUACAUACCACCUGUAGAUCAACGAAAGCGAAACGAAAAGCGUAAUCGUAAAACCGAGUCAUACAAAUGUGAAAUAUGUUCCCGUAUCUACAAAAGUUCACAUUAUCUGCGAACACAUUUGGCAAAAACACAUAAUUCUGAGAGUAGGAAAACCGCCAGCAUCCAGUUUCAAAAAUGUGAUGAAUGCACAGGAGAAUUUAGGACAUUACGUAGUUUAGAGGAGCAUUCCCUUUCGGCACAUGGUGGUAUGAAAUGUAUGUAUUGUGAUAAACGAUGUACAUCGCGAACAAAUCAGCUACGACAUAUGGAAAUUCAUACACAUGGCACGGAACGACGGUUCGUCUGCGAUUAUGAUAACUGUAAGAAAAGUUUCUUUACACGCCGUCAAUAUCAAGCUCACAAACGCACCCAUACAAAAGGAAAGAAUUUCAUAUGUGAUAUAUGUGGCUACUCGUGUCGAGUACCGGAAAUGCUUAAAGUGCAUUAUCGUUCACAUACAGGUGAGAAACCGUUUGCUUGCGAUGAAUGCGGCAAAUGUUUUGUAUCAAAAUCGGCGGUUAGGGAGCAUAAAGCAUCACAUGGCACUGAGCGUCCACAUGAAUGUAAAGUAUGUGGACGCUCUUUUGCAAGGGCAAAAUCGCUAUACCAUCAUAAUUUCUUACAUCUCGCAGAGAAGAAGUUUAAAUGCAAGUUAUGUGGACAGGCAUAUGCACAGCUUGCUGGUUUAGCUGGACAUAUGAGACGACAUCGGGAGCAGGGCCAUUGCUGAUAAGUUCUUGACACAGCUGCAUCUUUAAAAAAAGCUAAGUUAUUAUUCGGUCAUUCAAACCAUCCAAACCUUUAUUACUUUUUAAUUACUUAUUGUAUAUGAAUAGGGACUAUUGAAUAUUAAUUAUUAAAAAUGUUUUGUUAAUCGACAGCUAUUUUUGCUUUAAUAUACAUUUAUAUAGAUUUAAGCAAUUACAAUUAUUUACAACGAAUAAAAAAGUAUUUUUUCUAAAAAUACCAUAUUCAUAAUAUACCAUAUACAAAAUAUUAAGUAUCUAAGCGCAAUAACAAAAUUUAAAAUGCUUCAAAGCUCACGUCAUAUUUUAAACAUUUUUGUGCGUACUGUUUUCGUGCCAAGUUUUAUAUAGUACUGUACACAUUCUUUUUCGGAAGUUAAAUUUGCAAUUGGUUUGACAGAUGUAGCGGAAAUGUUUUUUGAGGAGAUAGAGAUUAGUAAUAUACUCAACUGUGCACAUGUGAAAUUGCAUUUUAAACAAACGCAAAGUACAGUUUACGUUGUACAAGGCAGCAACGACUGCCCACUUCGCUUUACAGUGAGCACUGCUAUUAAAUUAAUUUGCAGUGGUCAAUAUGCAAGUAUUGAAUCAUUAACUCAAUUUAAAAACCUGCAUGAGGGCUAUGUCCGUAUAGUGUUGCUCAUUUCAAAAGAAGCUUGUGAAAUAACAGCAUCAUUGGAGUCAGAUAACACAAAUUUGGAAAGUGAUAGUGAUAGCGAUGCGCCAUGCACAUCUAAAUGGGCACUAAAUCGCGAACAGCGACGUAAUCAGCGUCAGCUACGUAACACGCAUUUAUUGCAAAGGCAGCAGCAACUAUUUCAUAAGGUAGAGGCAUUACGCGACUUCCGGUAUAGUCCGGAAUCGAUCGAAUACACUCUCGAUGCAGGUGCAAAGCAAAAAAGUAGUGUUUUCGAAUUCCAAUUGAAAUUUCGCACGAAUAUCGAUUACAUCCUGCGUCAGCCAGAAAUAUCACGUGGGGGAUUUUCCGGAAAUUGGUUGGAGUUUAUAACAACAAAGUUGAAUGGGGCUAUGAAUCGAGAGGAAGAAAUUUCGAAAUUAUUUGGAUAUUUUGUGCAACUAUUUUUAAAAAAUCGUUACAAUGAGUGUGAUUUAUUGUCUAAAUUAACGACCUGCUGUAUUAUUGGACACACUGCCUUAGAUGUUAUGAUUGCGGUCGAUGCCCUAAAGAUUUUCAAUGACGUACGCAAUACUUUUGAGUUUAUUACAUGCAUGGAAUAUACAGUAUGGUUUCUAAUCCCAUAUAAAGGUCGUUAUGUAUCAGUGCAAGAAGUGAGUGUUGAAAAUUUCCAAUUUAAUAACGUAUAUACAUGCAUAAAACUAAAGGCGAUGGAACAAAAUCCCUGCAGAGAAUAUAUAUGGUCGGACGCAGAUCACGCAAUCCAAGAUCUCUUAUUUAUCGCAUUCCAGUUGGUCAUAUGUUUUCACCUCAAGCGGGGUGUUGUCUAUUUGCAAGAAGAAUUGAAGAAUGUUAAAGAUUAUCAGACUAUGCAAUUCGUAGUAACGGCUUAUUUACAGAGAAAUGGAAAUGGUCAAAAGUUUUGGCCACAAAAAUAUUAUUUACAACAAAUUUUAAAAGCUUGUAAUAAAAUGCGAAUUACUGCUAUUAUUGACUAUCCUGGUGGCUUGCCAGUUACACCCCUCUCUGGAAACUUAAUCAAAUGCUACAAAGAUGAAUGUAGCGGUAGAUGGGAAUUAAAAGUGGAAGAACGCAUGAGUUCCUGUAGUAGUGAGCAAUUCAUCAGUGAAUUGCAAGCCGGCUUACAAAGUCAUUCAAUUUAAUAAGUUCUGAGCCGAAAUAUUUGUAAAAACAAAAAGUUGCGAUAAGAUAAGAGGCUUGAUCGACGAGCUAAUAAUAUAAUAUAUAUGAUAUAAAGUUAAUAUACAACUAAUUGAAGAUGUUACCUUAAUAGCUGCAAAAAAAAACAUACAGAACAGUUGCAGAUACUUACCAUGCUAAUCAUCGGGUGUCCUUAGCGGUGUACAAACAGUAGAAUGUGUACAUAAAUAGCGAGACCUAGUGCCAAACGGCGAGCAACGUCCACCAUUUGUCACGAAAAAUUCAACUUUUGGGAGGAGUGCACAAUAAAUGUUCAUCUUAACUUUAAAUUACUAAAAUUCGUAUUUCACAAUACAAUUUCCAUCGAAUGUAUGCUAAUAAAUUGUAUUUUUUUUUGUAAAUAUAGAAAUUAUUAAAAACACUUUGAUAAAAUACUUUUAAAAAA